ACCGGUAUAGGUUAAUGGUAGACCACUCGUUUACCAAACGAAUUGUGCGAGUUCAAAUCUCGCUGCCGGUA